UACGGAGGAUCCGAGCGUUAUCCGGAUUUAUUGGGUUUAAAGGGUGCGUAGGUGGAUUGGUAAGUCAGUGGUGAAAGUUUGCAGCUUAACCGUAAAAUUGCCGUUGAAACUGCCGGUCUUGAGUGCAAAUGAGGUAGGCGGAAUGCGUCGUGUAGCGGUGAAAUGCUUAGAUAUGACGCAGAACUCCGAUUGCGAAGGCAGCUUACUGGGAUGCAACUGACGCUGAGGCACGAAAGCGUGGGUAUCAAACAGGAUUAGAUACCCU
rnacentral:rRNA from 1 species